rnacentral:rRNA from 1 species
UAACACAUGCAAGUCGAGCGGCAGCAGGCCCUUCGGGGUUGCUGGCGAGCGGCGGACGGGUGAGUAACGCGUGGGAAUCUACCCUUCGGUGGGGGAUAGCCCGGGGAAACCCGGAUUAAUACCGCAUACGCCCUACGGGGGAAAGCGGCCCUCUGAUGCAAGGUCGCGCCGAUGGAUGAGCCCGCGUCCGAUUAGCUCGUUGGUGGGGUAAAGGCCUACCAAGGCGACGAUCGGUAGCUGGUCUGAGAGGACGGUCAGCCACACUGGGACUGAGACACGGCCCAGACUCCUACGGGAGGCAGCAGUGGGGAAUAUUGGACAAUGGGGGAAACCCUGAUCCAGCAAUGCCGCGUGGGUGAAGAAGGCCUGCGGGUUGUAAAGCCCUUUCAGCUGGGAGGAAAAGCGUCCGGCUAAUACCCGGGCGUGUUGACGUUACCAGCAGAAGAAGCACCGGCUAACUCCGUGCCAGCAGCUGCGGUAAUACAGAGGGUGCAAGCGUUAAUCGGAUUUACUGGGCGUAAAGCGCGCGUAGGUGGCCAAUUAAGUCAAAUGUGAAAUCCCCGAGCUUAACUUGGGAAUUGCAUUCGAUACUGGUUGGCUAGAGUAUGGGAGA